UGAAUGUAAGCAGAGAACACAUCCAUCCUUUUAGAGAGGUCGCGGCGGAACUACUUCCGGAUCCUAGAGAGCGUUUAUUCCGUGACCGGGGAAACGGUAGCCAUGGCAACGUGUUCUUCACCCUUUCCCAUCUAUGCCUGGGGUUUCGUUGGAAGUGAUUCCAGCACGACUUUCGCGGCCAGCUUUCUCGUGUGGCGGCGCUUCUCGGAAAGAAGAAACACACGAGAGAGUCCUAACUUAAACUGGAUUGUUUUUCAACUCUGAUCUGUCCCCUGGUUGGCAUCUCUCACCUUCCAAUACCAAUAAGAAACAAUUUUCAAGAAAGAUUUCCACCUGUUCAUAGCAAACAUAAUUGGGAGGAAGAUUAGAAGCAGUGGGGGUCGGUGGCUGUGCUAGGAUGAAAAUUGUGAUAUUUUAUGCAUAGUGUUGUCCCCAAGCAAAGAGAAAUGAGCCAGAAGACAAAUGAGAAUGUAGAAAGGUAUACCCAAUUCCUUCAAAAGCCCCAGAAACCCAUUCAGCCUUACAUCUGCUCGACUCUGAAUGAUUUUCAAGAAGAGAGAGACUUUUUGGCAAACAACAUCUUCCCUCAGCUUAAUGAACUCUGCAAUUCCUGGGGCACAUAUUUCAAAGCCGUGGACCUGAGUUGGUCAGCAUUAAAGGCCCCGAAAUCCUUACCCACCCACCUGUUUAGACAGUAUUCUUGUCUUCGCUCCCAACGUCUGAAGCUCUGCCUUGACUAUGUGAACAGCUGCUUUCCCUUUUUCAUCUGCAUGCUGGGUCAGACGUAUGGAGACUUCCUCCCUGACUACUCACAUUUCAUGACCUCCAAAGUGACUCGCUUGUCAAGCUUAUCCAAAGUAGAAUAGAAUCUCUAUGUUGCUGCCAAAAACGGUUAUCCUUGGGUUCUGGAGAACCCCAGCUGCAGUCUGACGGAGUUUGAGAUAAUCCAAGCAGCAUUUCUGAAUGAAUCUCAAUUUCAGUAUUUUUACUUUAGGACUGGAACCACACUGCUGAAGGCUUUAGAUGAUGAGAAAAAGGGAGAGAGGCUGCCCUCAAGUUCUUCAACCAACGAAGAGGAAACAUUGAGGAUUGGAAAGCUUAAGGCCAAGAUUAUUAGUAAAGGGCUCCCUGUGAGAUUUUAUAGUGAUCUCCACGAGUUGGGUGAGCUGGUUUUUAAGGACUGGUCAGUUGUGAUAGAAAAACUUCAUCCAGCCACUUUAAUGAUUGAAAAUAUAGGUGAAAGAUUUUUCCUGGCUGCCACACUCACUCUCCCCUCAUUGCAAAUUUAUCAUGAGCACUGUCUCUUCCAGCCUGUCCUACAAGUCGUUGUGUGCCCGCCCGGAUGUGAGGACAGUGGAACUCAUUAGCACAGGAGAUGAAGAAACAAAAUUAAACAUCUUUAGAAAGCAUCUCUCCAUUCCCAUGAUGGACCCCUUCGAACAGAGCACACAGGCGUUGAGGAAAAAACCAGACCUGAGUCCUUUAAAACUCACAAUCCUAGCCAAUGAAUUGAAAGAAUAUAGAAUCAACCACAAUGAGUUUCAGUGUAUGAAGGAGUACUUGGAGGCUGUCUCUGUUCAGGAGCUCUGGGAAUUGGUUCUCAAACGCUGGAUUGAAGACUACAGUUGGACGUUUCAACCCAAAAGGGCAAAUUCAGACACUGUGGCUUCAGGAGAAGGACUGGACAGCUGGGUGGCCGACGCUCUGUGCUUACUGUGCCUGUCGCAUGGUGGCUUGGCUGAGGAUGAGCUACUCCAGCUUUUGGACAUGCUGGGCUACAGGAAUCAUUACAAAGUGACCGCCUUGCACUGGGCUGCCUUCCGCAACGCCACCAAACAGUGGGUCCAGGAGAAGCCCAAUGGCCUCCUGUAUUUCUGGCACCAGUCCCUGUGAAGUGCAGUGGAGCACAAGCUUCUUGUGCUGCAGUGCAGGCUUAUUGAACUUACUGUCCUUGACAAAUGUCGAUUAAUGUUCUUUAUUGGGAGUUUUUUGAAGUUUAUGGGCAAGACCAAUGAAGCAGAAGAGUUGUUCUUGAGUGUUGAGGACAUGUUAGUACAGAGCCAGUCCAUGACAGACAUGCUUCUCAAAGUACAGAAUGCUAUUGGAGAACUGUAUCUUGAAACUGGAAUGACUCAGGAAGGGUUCCAGUAUUUCCAGAAAGCAUGGUCAAGCAUGCUGCGUCUUUCACUCAGUGACUUAGAAGACAGCCGGGACUUGGUGAAGCAGAAAGUCAGAGUUUUGGACAAUCUGGCAAAGUCAGCAUCUGAAGAAUACUUAAAAGAAAACCACAUUUUGGAAUAUGCAACUGAAAUUUCCAACUUACUGGAUAACAAUCCCCGUGAUCAAGCUACCAUGAAAUACAUCGAAGGUGUUCUAAUGUUCGUUGCUGGAAAUACCUCUCUUGCAAAAAUGAAACUUCGAGAGUGCUUAAAUAUCAGGAAAAGCUUGUUUGGCAAGAAAAACAUGCUGGUUGGAGAAGUUAUGGAAUUUUUAGCGGAUUUGCUAUUUUUUCCCCAGAGAGAUAGUAAAAAAUCCCAAAGGAAGCAAGUACUUAAAUAUUAUAAACAAGUGAUAAAAAUAAAGGAAAAUGCAGAAACUCUGGCCAAGUCCUCACUCCUCAGGAAGCAACUGAGCAUCAGCCUCAGCGAUACGUUGUGUAAAUUAGCCUUCUGAGAGAAAUUGAGUGGAUCCGGAGCCGGAGAUAUUGGCCUCAAGGUAUGAGCCAGCAACAUUCUGAGGGUUCUAGGAAUGGCUUCUCAUUAUGGGAGCACUUGGUUAAAUUAAACUACCACAGUGCUCAGAGUUCUAAUACAGUGAGCUCUGCAAUGUGCAUGAAUGCAGAUAAAUUACACAGGGCUAGAAGAAUGGACUUGGCACCUCAGACAAUUUCAGAUAAAUCAAAAUGUGCUCCUGGAAAAGGGAAAAAGAAACCCAUUAUUUGCAUAUCUGCCGAGGAAAAGAUACAACGGAAGACACAAAACAAUGCUGAAAUAUGGAAUGGCUCAGGAAAGGAAGCCUCAAAGAAAAAGACAGACUAUUCCUCUAACAUUUUAUCUUUGGGUAAAAUGAAUGGUUUAAUAAAGCUUUCAAGGCAAAGAAUUUUGUUAGCUAAAAGUGAGAGUGGAGAAGGCGAAAUCACCACCAUUUACCACCAUCCCCUGCCAUGGCCUGUUAGCACAAAAAACCCUGGGGAAUCUGAGUUCAUAUCAGAAAAGUGGCUUUUUCAUAGCCCAGAUUAUAUUUCAAUAUCUCAGAAGUCUUUUUUGCAGAGAAGACUUCACAUUGAAACAAAACUGUUGAAGACCUCAAAUGAUAUUAAUAA
ensembl:lncRNA novel transcript